rnacentral:rRNA from 1 species
AGAGUUUGAUCAUGGCUCAGAACGUACGCUGGCGGCACGCCUUAUACAUGCAAGUCGAACGAAGUAGCAAUACUUAGUGGCAGACGGGUGAGUAACAUGUGGGUAUCUUCCCUUUGGUGAGGAAUAACACGAGGAAACUUGUGCUAAUACUGGAUAAGUCUUUACAGAGAAAGCUUUAUGCACCAUUGGAUGAGCCCGCACUUGAUUAGUUUGUUGGUGGGGUAAUGGCCUACCAAGACUUUGAUCAAUAGCUGAUUUGAGAGGAUGAUCAGCCACAUUGGGACUGAGACACGGCCCAAACUCCUACGGGAGGCAGCAGUGGGGAAUCUUGCACAAUGGAGGAAACUCUGAUGCAGCGAUGCCGCGUGAGUGAAGAAGGCCCUUGGGUUGUAAAGCUCUUUCGUCGGGGAAGAAAAUGACUGUACCCGAAUAAGAAGGUCCGGCUAACUUCGUGCCAGCAGCCGCGGUAAUACGAAGGGACCUAGCGUAGUUCGGAAUUACUGGGCUUAAAGAGUUCGUAGGUGGUUGAAAAAGUUGGUGGUGAAAUCCCAGAGCUUAACUCUGGAACUGCCAUCAAAACUUUUCAGCUAGAGUGUGAUAGAGGUAAGUGGAAUUUCUAGUGUAGAGGUGAAAUUCGUAGAUAUUAGAAAGAACACCAAAAGCGAAGGCAACUUACUGGGUCACUACUGACACUGAGGAACGAAAGCAUGGGUAGCGAAGAGGAUUAGAUACCCUCGUAGUCCAUGCCGUAAACGAUGUGUGUUAGACGUUGGAAAUUUAUUUUCAGUGUCGCAGCGAAAGCGAUAAACACACCGCCUGGGGAGUACGACCGCAAGGUUAAAACUCAAAUGAAUUGACGGGGACCCGCACAAGUAGUGGAGCAUGUGGUUUAAUUCGAAGAUACGCGCAGAACCUUACCAACACUUGACAUGUUCGUCGCGACUUUAAGAGAUUAAAGUUUUCGGUUCGGCCGGACGAAACACAGGUGCUGCAUGGCUGUCGUCAGCUCGUGUCGUGAGAUGUUGGGUUAAGUCCCGCAACGAGCGCAACCCUCACUUUUAGUUGCCAUCAUUUAGUUGGGCACUCUGAAAGAACUGCCAGUGAUAAGCUGGAGGAAGGUGGGGAUGACGUCAAGUCCUCAUGGCCCUUACGUGUUGGGCUACACACGUGCUACAAUGGUAUUUACAACAGGAAGCAAAACAGCGAUGUUAAGCAAAUCCUUAAAAAAUACCUCAGUUCGGAUUGCACUCUGCAACUCGAGUGCAUGAAGCUGGAAUUACUAGUAAUCGUGGAUCAGCGUGCCACGGUGAAUGCGUUCCCGGGUCUUGUACACACCGCCCGUCACACCAUGGAAGUUGGUUACACCUUAAG